GAUGAACGCUGGCGGCGUGCCUAAUACAUGCAAGUCGAGCGAACAGACGAGGAGCUUGCUCCUCUGACGUUAGCGGCGGACGGGUGAGUAACACGUGGAUAACCUACCUAUAAGACUGGGAUAACUUCGGGAAACCGGAGCUAAUACCGGAUAAUAUAUUGAACCGCAUGGUUCAAUAGUGAAAGACGGUUUUGCUGUCACUUAUAGAUGGAUCCGCGCCGCAUUAGCUAGUUGGUAAGGUAACGGCUUACCAAGGCAACGAUGCGUAGCCGACCUGAGAGGAGGAUCGGCCACACUGGAACUGAGACACGGUCCAGACUCCUACGGGAGGCAGCAGUAGGGAAUCUUCCGAAAUGGGCGAAAACUUGACGGAGCAACGCCGCGUGAGUGAUGAAGGUCUUCGGAUCGUAAAACUCUGUUAUUAGGGAAGAACAAAUGUGUAAGUAACUGUGCACGUCUUGACGGUACCUAAUCAGAAAGCCACGGCUAACUACGUG
rnacentral:rRNA from 1 species